rnacentral:rRNA from 1 species
GACGAACGCUGGCGGCGUGCUUAACACAUGCAAGUCGAACGGAAAGGCCCUGCUUUUGUGGGGUGCUCGAGUGGCGAACGGGUGAGUAACACGUGAGUAACCUGCCCUUGACUUUGGGAUAACUUCAGGAAACUGGGGCUAAUACCGGAUAGGAGCUCCUGCUGCAUGGUGGGGGUUGGAAAGUUUCGGCGGUUGGGGAUGGACUCGCGGCUUAUCAGCUUGUUGGUGGGGUAGUGGCUUACCAAGGCUUUGACGGGUAGCCGGCCUGAGAGGGUGACCGGCCACAUUGGGACUGAGAUACGGCCCAGACUCCUACGGGAGGCAGCAGUGGGGAGUAUUGCACAGUGGGCGGAAGCCUGAUGCAGCGACGCCGCGUGCGGGAUGACGGCCUUCGGGUUGUAAACCGCUUUCGCCUGUGACGAAGCGUGAGUGACGGUAAUGGGUAAAGAAGCACCGGCUAACUACGUG